GUUAAGAAAGUAGCUUAGAAGACGAGGUGUAAGCUCCAAUGGGAAGUGUCAGUAACGCUUGGUUUUGUUCUUCUUCAGUCCUCAUAGCUCCUAUUGAGAACAAGAGGGUGUGCAAUUUUGUAAUGUCUACUUCGAGGAAUGCCUUGAAAUCGAGCAAGAUUUAUUGCAAGCUACCUGGGACUGAGAGUAGUGGGAUUGAGCAGAACGCCACAAGCCGUAGACCCUACAGUUCCGAGACCAAGAUGGACGAGUACAACAUUGCGAUGAAGAAGAUGAUGAGGAACCCUUAUGAGUAUCACCAUGAUCUUGGCAUGAACUAUACUCUGAUAACUAAUAAUCUGAUAGUGGGCUCCCAGCCUCAGAAACCUGAAGAUAUAGAUCACCUAAAAAAGGAAGAGAAUGUGGCAUAUAUUCUGAACUUGCAGCAGGACAAGGACGUUGAAUAUUGGGGAAUUGACUUGCAAUCAAUAAUUAAAAGAUGUCGAGAACUUGGAAUCCGUCACAUGAGGAGGCCUGCAAGAGAUUUUGAUCCGGAUUCGUUGCGAAGUGGAUUACCUAAAGCUGUUUCAUCAUUGGAAUGGGCCAUUUCUGAGGGAAAAGGAAAAGUUUAUGUGCACUGCACAGCUGGAUUAGGAAGGGCCCCGGCUGUUGCAAUUGCUUACAUGUUCUGGUUCUGUGGCAUGAAUCUGAAUAAAGCAUAUGAUACGCUAACUUCAAAGAGACCUUGUGGACCCAAUAGAAGUGCAAUACGUGGAGCUACUUAUGAUCUGGCUAAGAAUGAUCCAUGGAAAGAGCCCUUUGAGAACCUUACAGAAAAUGCGUUUGAGGGUAUAGCAGAUUGGGAGAGGAAUUUGAUACAAGACCGUGUUCGUUCCCUACGUGGAAGUUGAGCACCUAGGUAAGUAUUCCUUCUUUUGAAAUUCAAAUUGCUCUGAGCCUAAUCUGAAAUUUAGUUAAGUUGCUAAAAGCCUUGGGCCUCGGAUAUUGAACAAGCUUCAUGGAUGUCAAGAUACCCUGUAAAUCAUGCAAACAGUUACGUAACAGUAUUCAGCAAAGUGUUAGUAAUGGAUGAGGAAUCUUCCAGGCAAGCAUGCAACGGCCAACAUCAAUUAGGAUUCUAAGUAUCCAUGUCAUUAGAAAUUCCAGACGUUUCAACGAUUAUGAACCAUCAAGCUGGUACAGCCGUACAGGGAAUAGGAGGGUAUGCAACUUCAUGGCUGUGCUCAGAGCUGGGGGCCUGACAAGAAUGCUUUACUAUCCUUCUUGAAAAAGAACUUAGAAUAUAGCCUAGAAGUUGUAUAUAUGAUUUAAAAGUAAUAUAUCUAUUCGUAGCAAAUAAAUUUGUAGUAUAAACUUUUCCAGUUUUAUGAGAUUUUAUCAUCAGACUGGCAAUCAUAGCGCCUAUACCUGUGAAUCUGAACAGUUUGAUGCAUUGCUACAAUGAGUUUAACCAGAAUACAUUUCAACUUUUCUUGAAAAGCUCA